rnacentral:lncRNA from 1 species
UCUUCGGCGAGCGGCCUUGUGCUGCUCGUCCGGUUGUUAAGUUUCUUGAUUUUGGGUUAAGCUUGUAAGGUUUUGUUCUCCGGCGGUCAAAGAAUUUGCUGUAUGAUUUGAAAAGAAAUGCAAGAAUCUGGGCAAGUUGUUGAAGGAAAGAGGAGCACUGGAGUAGGCAACGAACUUGUUACAGAGGCCGACGAACAGCAAAGCCGUUAUAAACACCCUUCUUAUCGGCAUCUUCGCUGUGUUGAGGGUACGAUCGAUAGAGCAGUAGCAUCAAACUGAGGCACUGGAGGCAGAUUGGAAGAUGUGGUCGUAUGGGUUUGGGUUAUUGUAUGAUUGCAACAAUGGCGAUUCAGUUAUUGGGAGGUGGCGGUUUGGUGAUAGAGAGAGGAAGUGUGGUUGAUCGGCACGAAGUGGUCACCCGUACAGUUGGGGUGAUGAAUGUGGGACGACGUCUGUGAGAUAAGGAUGCAGAAGAUGAAGUUUGGGCCAAGUAAUAGUGUAAUUGGGUUGGGCCAGGAUUACUGGACUGCUUAUGGGUAAAUUUAUGGAAUGGGCUGUCAAGUUAUGGGCUUGGUAAUUGGUUAGAUUACUUGGGCCUAGGUUUUAUUUUCUGGGAUUAGUUUUGAUUGUGAUUGGGCUAUGAGAAUCUAGUUGGGCUGAUUUUAGUUUAUUGUAGAGAUUGUGUUGUAGGGCUUUUGUGGUUGGAGUGAUUAUGGGCCAUAGUAUAUGUUUUGCGUUAUGGGCUAUUAGGUUAAUAUUUUUGGUUAUUAUUUCAGGUUUAGUGGAUUGGUUAGUUUGGCCUGUUGGGUUUGGUGUUUUGGGCUGCAUUAUAUGGAUGGUUGUAAUUGGAUGAAAG